CCCUUAGAUGUUCUGGGCUGCACGCGCGCUACACUGACGCACGCAACAGGUGCCUGCUCCGAGAGGACUGAGUAAUCAUUUGAGUGUGCGUCGUGAUGGGGAUAGAAUAUUGUAAUUAUUACUCUUCAACGAGGAAUUCCUAGUAAGCGCCAGUCAGCAGCUUGCGCUGAUUACGUCCCUGCCCUUUGUACACACCGCCCGUCGCUCCUACCGAUGGGUGAUCCGGUGAAUGAUUCGGACUUCAGCGGCUCCCCUGGGGUGCGCCGGAGAAAGUUUUGUGAACCUUAUCACUUGGAGGAAGGAGAAGUCGUAACA
rnacentral:rRNA from 1 species